GGAUCGAUGAUGACUUCCAUAUAUACAUUCCUUGGAAAGCUGAACAAAAUGAGUGAAAACUCUAUACCGUCAUCCUCGUCAAACUGAGGUCCAGCACACUGCUCCAUCAGGGGCUCGAGAGAGAGGAACAACAUCCAUUUGUUGACACAGACUGCACCAAGGCUUGGGGUGGGGUCUUUUUCUGGCAGAGGAGAGUAGCUGGGAAUUUUGGACGUUUGUAACUAAGAGACAGCUUGGUUGAAGGCAGCCAGGUGUGUCGUCAAUUUGUACCUUGGGUCCCUUGUCCUCCAGAGGAAGACUAUUGCUUCCACAUGGGGAGACAGCACAAGGUCAUUCCCAGACACCUCUUUCACUCACUUUCAUCCUUGUCAAGGGACGUAGGACUUCCCAUGGUGUUUGGAUAGCAUCAGGGGCAGGCAGGCAGUCUUCAGGAGGAUGGCGAUGCUGAUUUGCUUUCUGCAGAGGAGCCCAGAGAGGGUAUCCACACUGAACUUGUAUGUCCAUAGGAGGAAACCCAAACCGCAUGGUCCCAGAAGGGUCCUGGUGGUUAGAAGGGGAGAAAGCUGCACAUGCAUUUACCACACAGUCUUCUGUCUGGGUUGUGGAGAGAUGACUGUGAGCCUCUUUUGGGUGUUAUAGGGUGCAUACGGUUUAUUUUAUGAUGAUCUUGGGAUGCUGGGAUGGGAAUGUAAUUGCGAAUCCAUGUGUUCCCGCAACUCCACAGACUUGACUUGGUUUGGCAGGUGGUGUGGGCAUGGAAGGAAGGCCAGUGGAGACAAUGGAUGAUCUUGUUCUUAGCAGAUCACUGGAUGUGGCAGGGAGUCCUAGGACAUGUGUGGUGUGGGCUUCUUCAGGUGCUGGUGGUGUUGGCAUGAGGAAAGGAGGUAUCUUCGAGGGACAAUCUUCUUCUUGUGCGAUCCUUGGAGAUGCCAUGAGGCCCCUGGACACAUGUGGUGUGGGCUCCUUUGGAGGCUGUUGUAUCCCUUCUGAAUGUGGCGUGGGCAUAGAAGGAAGGCCAGUGGCCACGAGGGACAAUCUUGGUCUUGGGAGAUCCUGGAAAUGAUAGGGAGUCCCUUGAUAUGUGUGGCAUGGGCUCCUUCAGGUGCUAGUGGAUUCCUUAGGAUGGUGGUGUUGGCAUGAAAGGCAGGCUUGUAUCAUGAGGAAUGAUUGUCAUCUUGUCUGAUUCUUGGAGAUGGCAGGAAGCCCCUGGAAACACAUGGUGUGGACUCUUUCACAGGCUGUUGAAACCCUCCUGAAUGUGAGGCCAGAGACAGGCAGACAGCAGAUGUAUUGCAGGGAGCUGGAUGACAUGGCCCUUGGAACCUGUGCACAUGCCUGCCUUUCUGAUGCACGUCCAUGUUUUCUCUGCACCUCCCCGGUGGUGUUGGUAUAAAAAGCAGGCUUACAUCAGCAAGGGAUGAUUGUCGUCUCAUGCGAUCCUGGGAGAUGGCAGAAGUCCCGGGACACAUGGAGUGUGGGCUCUUUCGGAGGCUGUUGGAUCCCUCCUGAAUGUGUUGUGGCCAUGGAAGUAAGGCCAGUGGCUACGAGGGACAGUCUUCAUCUUGGGAGAUCCCUAGAGAGGGCAGGGAGCCCCUUGACAUGUGGAAUGUGAUCUCUGUUGGGUGCUGGUGGAUCCCACAGGUGGUCUGGCAUGGAAGAAGGCCAGAGGCUGCGAUGGAUCAUCUUUGUCUUGGGAGAUUCCUGGAGAUGGUGGGGAGCCCCUGGGCACGUGCAGCAUAUGUGGCGUGGGCUUCUUCAGGUGCUGGUGGAUCCCUCAGGAUGCUUUUCAAGGUUUUUCUAUGAGUUCUGUUAAAGAGUCUGAAAAUGGAGCGUAGAAGACAUGCUUCGAUUUCCAGGAUGGUUGUGUUUUCCAGAGAGGCGGAGGUAAACCACUGGCGCAGCCCUGCCUCCCACAGAUAAUUCCGGGUGCAGUGUUUCAUAUCUAGACUUGGACUUCUAUCCUACCAUACUUCUUUGUGUGCAGUUCAUUGUGGAACCAGCACAGAUUUUCAUACGAAAGUUAUUUCUUUUUAACCUCAAAAAGUGACAGAAUGGAGUGUAUCAUGAAAAAGUCUGACAUCAAAACCUCAAAAUGUGAUAUUGAUUGGGUGAGAUAGAAUUCCAUGGAAUUUCAUUGCCAAACCAGUGAAGUGCUAAUUUUGACAUUUGUACCAGCUAACGUAGCUGUGAAGAAACACACCAAUACACUUCUAAGGACAGCAUAGACCAAGAUCUAGGUUUCAUAUGGAUGAAUUUAUUCUUCCCUUUGAGGCAAGACAAGAAGGAAAGAAAGUAUUGGGAAUAAUGCUGCCCUCCCAUCCUCAAGGGCCAGUGGGAACUCUAAUAUUGAUUGGUUUUCACAGAAUUCCAUGGACUUUAACUGCUGAACCAAUGAUGCACUGAUUUUGUCACUUGUACCAGCUAACGCAUCUGGGAGGCAACAAAACAAUACUCUCCUGAGGUUAAUGUGGACCAAAAACUAGAUUUCAUAUAAAAGAGUUUAUUCCUUCUACUUGAGGUGUGACAUGAAGGAAAGUAAUGGAAAUAAUUCUGCCCUCCCAUUCUCAAGGGCCAGGGGGAAUUCAAAUAUUGAACGGAAGUGAUUUUGGAAUUGCAUGGAAUUCUCACUGCCAUCCCAAAGAAAUGCUGAUCUUGUCACUCUUACCUGUUUCAUUCCCUGGGGGCAGAACAAAAGGACGCACUCCAAAGAUCGGCAUGAACCAAGAACUGGGUUUCAUAUAAAAUAUUUUAUUCUGUCCUCUUGAGAUGUGACAUGAGAAAAGUAUUGAGAAUACUUCUAUCACCUCAUCUUCAAGAAUCCGUAGGAAUUCUCCCAUGGUGGACUUUACGGUUAACCUGAACAGGUCUUGGAAAAAGGACUUUAAACAUUCUCCUGUUCUGUGGAAUAAGUAUACUUUUUUCUGGACAUACACCUUGUCAGUGAGUUCCAUGUGAUACUAGAGUUGCAUAGAUUUUUAACCUUUACGCCAAUGAAGAUCUGAGGCAAACAUUGCCCCUUUUUUAGAAGUUUGCAUUUGUCACUGAUAACUGUAAUAAUUGAUCUUGUUGAAAAGCCUGGGAAAUGAAGAUCUGAUAUGUCACUUUUACCGGCUUCCUCAACUGAAAAAGAAUACAAUGAAACACGCUGAGAAUUUUUGUGCUUUCUCAGUCUUGCUGAUGAUCUUUCUAUGGGCCUGAAGCGUGGAGAGUGCCAGAGAGGCUGAUCCUCAGCAGUGUGGCAGAGGAAAGUUGGGUGCGACUAAGGGGUAUGCGGUGCCCACAUGCCACUGGGUCCUCAGCAGUACCACCUGAUUGGAAGUGAUAUUGGUGGAAGACAACAUUUUGCCGCUUGGAAUUCUCACCUCCACACCAAAGAAGUACUGUUUUUGUCAUUUGCACCAGCUUCUUUCUCCAGGAAAGAUCAAAACGAUGCACUGCAAGUGUGAUUGGUCCAGAUAGCUGCCUUAUCCAACUGCCUCCUUUGGACCACUUCAUCAUGGGACAGCUUGAUGCAAUCUACUUGACAAGACCCUGGAACCCCACACCCCUCAUGGAACCAGUGUCCACCUCCCAGUCACAGUGUGACCCCAGGGAACUCUUGCCUGCUUGCUUUAAACCCACCACUUAAAAGUCUCCACAGAAAACCUGUUUGAAUAGUACCCUUGACCCAAUAAGGGCAUUGGCCCCUGGGUGUCUCUCUCUCUCUCUCUCUCUCUCUCUCCCUCUCUCUCCCUCUCUCUCUCUCGCUCCCUGACCUCUGCGUGUGGACUCCAGGCAUGCCAUAUACCCCUCAGGACCUGAAGCAAAAGAAUGAAUUAAAGAAAACUCCAGAGAAUGAGCUGACAACCUACUCCCUGGUCAGUGGCUCUCCAUGCCUACCUGUGGUCUCUUGGACACCCUUGCAGAAGAUGACUUCCUGGGAACUCUUCUGGGAGUGAAUGUUAUCAGCAAAUUCCCAAAACAACACCCCUUAGACAAAAAGCCUCCUCACCUAUGCAUUGCCUAGACCACCCACUAAAGGUGAUGGCCACAAAGAGGUGGAUUUGUUGAGUUGGUGCCAUUCCUUCUACUGCCAGCUUCACCAAAACAAUGACACAGUCUUCCUUCCGCAUGGAGACUCUUCUCUUUCCUGUGUUGCAGUGGAUGCCUCCUGCAGAUAAGAAAUGCUUAACUGAGAAAUGCUCAUGUUGGGAUAUCAUCGAUGAGACUUUAAUUUGGGCAUGGUGACUGUUUCCCUUGCUGCCACUUGACUCAAUCCCAGGAGCCUCAGUAGAGGAUAUAAUAUUACACAAGAUGCUCAAAAUGGUGGAAUUGCUCAGUGCUCCCAUAAAUAUACAUUUAUAAUUUUCAUUUGCCACAUGGUAAACUGAAAAAUACAGACUAUAUUAAAAAGAAACUGCAUGAUUUUUUUUCAAAAAUUCAAAGCAUAUUUAAAUAAUAUAUAAAUUAAAUGCCCUCCUCUCUUCCAAUUCUGUCCCUAUAGUUUUCCUCUAUUAAGUGAACUACAUGCAUUCUUUUAGUGGAUAGAUGCACACAAACACACAAGCCAUUAUGGGGAAGGAUCCACGUGUGUGGCCAUAUUGUAACACAUUUUUCUGCAAAUCACCUCUUUCAUUUAACAGCCCUUAUUCAAUGGCCUUUUUCUUUUUCAGUAGUACAUACACAUCUGUGUCAUUUGUUGAAUGACGACAUGAAUGUUUUGUAGAUAAAAUAUAAUUAAAUGUUUUAAGCAUUUCUCACUCAUAGAUAUUUAUGUUAGCACCAAAUUUCUGUGCAAUGAACCUCCCUAUAUAUCAGUAAUUUUGCAUUUGUCUAUAAUAUCAUAAUAAAUUACUUAUCAGUUGAAUUACUGGGAUUAAGUAUGUGCACACUUUAUAUUUAUAUUUUGAAAAUUAUUGCAAGAUUGCCUUCAAAAAUGUGGUUAACAACUUUAUCUUCAAAUGGCAAUGAAUGAGAUUGCCAGCUUUCCUACAGCCUCACAGACAAUGGAUUUUAUAAAUAUUUAACAUUUUUGCCAAUGUGAUCACCCAAACUAUUGUCUUAAAUUGUAUCUCUUUUGUUUUUGAGUUUGGUCAUUUUUUCAUGUUUAUUAGCCAUCUGUAUUUUUUAAUUUCUUCUUUAUGUCCAAUUUUGUGGGUGGGAGGAGGAUUUAGUCUCUUCCUGAUUUCGAAGAGCUCAUUUACUAUUUCGGGAAAUAAGAUUUGGAUUGUCAACCAUUAUAGCUAUUUUUUACACACUUUUCAACUUUGUUUUUGUUAUAAGAAUGUGUAUGAUUGUUACAUGUCCAAGUAUAACCAUGUUCGCUUUUAUGGCUUCUGAGUUUCAUGUCAUUUUUGGAAAGAUAUAUAUAUUGAGUCCAUAAAACCCUUCACCUAUGUUAAAUUCUAAUUCUUUUGUGUUUUUUUAAUUCAAAUUCUUAAAUCAUGAGAAAUUUUUUUGUUUUGAAAUCUUAAAGUUGCCAAGUUACUUGCCAUUACUUGCGAUUAUUUGCCAAUAAUUGCCCAUUUAUCUGUACCGCCAUCUUGCGCAUAUGCUGUACUCUCAUCUGUGACUGGCUCCAUUUUUGUUCUGUGGAUUUGUGUGUCUCUUCUUCUGCCUCCUGUCUCGUGUCUGCUCGUUGGAAGAAAUUACAGUUUAGACUGCAAUUUCAUCAACUUUAAUAAAUCAAUUGAGGGGAGAAUUGGUUUUUAAAAAUAUUAAGUAAGUCUUCGUAUCCAAGGACAAGGUAUGUCUUUUCUUAUUCAAUAAUUUUAAUUACUGUUAAUAUUUUCACUGUGGUGAUGGGAGUUUUUCUUUUAAUUUAUUUUCUUGUUCAUUUUUUGUAUCUAAAGUUUUUGUUUUGUUUUGUUUUGGGGGUAAGUUGUCACCUUACUGUUUCUUGUUGCUUUUCAGAUUUUUUCAAAGUAUAGACUAAAUCCUUCACAAAUAUUUAAAGUUUUUAUUUUCCCCCUUCAUAUUGAUCCUGAUUUUAGUUAUGUUGACAAAGUCCACAGACUGUUACUAUCAGAACACUUGAACAGUUAUGGAAAUAUUACCUACCCUUGAUUUAAUCAGAGUUUAAUGGUAUGCUUCUUUGGUUUGACUGGCACAUUGUCGCUGGUCAUUUCCUCCCAAAGACCACCAGAAAGAGCUAUGAUCAAGCAAAGCUGAGUUUGUUAAACUUACCUGCAGCAAGGGAAAACACCACCUUGAUAGGGUUUAAUAAUGUUUCAAAAUCAAGAAAUGAGGCUUUGGGGUCUGGGCAGGGAACUAAUUAGAAAUGGGCAAAAUUUGUCAUGCAAUACCUUGUGGGAAAGUGAGAUGAGGUUCUUAAUGUGAGUAUUGAUGGUGAAAUCAUUUUCUAGGUGAGCUGUUUGCCUAUAUAAAGAUGUUAUCAAUGACAGAAGAACUAUUUGCCUAGAUAAACAAACUGAAUUUAUUUAUUGGUUUACAGUUUUAUCUUGCUGGGCAGGACUCUGCUGGGGGUGGUAUCAGGUCUUAUUCCCAAUAGGUAAGUUAUUUGGAUAUGGGUGGUCUUAAUCAUCAAUGUGUAAAAUGCUGAUUUUAAGUGCGAAAUACUUUGUCUACCAUGUUAGGAAAGUCUGCCACCUUUUAUCUUUUUUAAGGAAUUUUAAUCAAAACCAGGUGGUAGAUAUAAUCAAAUUGUUUUGCAGAAUCAAUUUUCCUGUUCUCUUUAAAGACUUUUAUCACUGUGAAUUAAUUUACUAUUAUUGCAACUUCCUUUAAUUCCUUGAAUGAACAGACCCUACUGGUUUUAAAAAUGUUUUAUUCUUUUAAUUUACUACUUAAUUGUGGGUAUUUUAAUUUGAUUUGGAAUUUUUACAAGUAUACAACUAAGUGAAAUUGAUCUGUGAUUUUUCUUUUUUGUGCUAUUUUUGUCAUGUUUUGAUAUCAGAUAUUCUGGUUGUGUUAAAAUAAUUUUGAGGAUUUUCUUCUUAUACUGUGUUCUAGAGUGGGUAAAAAAGCCCUAGUCUCACUAUCAGUGUUUAAGUGAACACAUCAGUGACAUCAUCUGGACUCUCCUUUGUUUUUGCUGGUUUGGAGUUAGGACAUCUAGAAGUUUUUUUCUUUUUUUCCUUUUUUUGUAUGGUUAUUGCUUGUUCUUUGUUUUGUGUCAAAUUUAACCUGUUUUCUCUUAGCAAAUCACAGCUCAUGCAGAUUUUCAAACACAUUAGCCUUGUUAUACAAAGUGUUCUUUCAUCAUUCUAUUAAAUUUCCAUUUUCAUUCCAGUUAUAGUUAUUUCUGCUGUGCCUUUGUUAAUGAAUAAGUUUAAACAGUGGAUGUUUAGCAUCACUAGCCUUCCCCUUCCAUCUCCCUUAAUCAGGACCUUGGUAUAAUUUAUCAGGUAUUUUUUAAGGUUCUAAUUUACUUAUAUAUAUUGUUUCUGUAUUCUUUUGUUUCUUUUCUUAAUAAAUUCUUAAA
rnacentral:lncRNA from 1 species